rnacentral:snRNA from 1 species
GGAUUUGAGGGUGAUCUGGCUGUGACAUCUGUCACCCCAUUGAUCGCCAGAGUUGAUUCGGCUCAUCUGGCUGGCUAGGCGGGUGUCCCCUUCCUCCCUCAAUGAUCCAUGUGCAUCCCUCCCGAAGCUGUGGGUACUCGGUGGGAGAGGACGACCACCCCCAAUAGAGGAGGACCAUUCCUUGGUCAAGGGUAUAUGAGUAACUGCUCUCCCCUGCUAGAACCUCCAAACAAGUUCUCAAGGUUCAAAUAAUAAGAUAUAGCUCAGUGACACAAAUGCCUGCUUGGGAAGCACAAGGUCCAGAGUUUCCCGUACC